UUAAGCGACUAAGCGUACACGGUGGAUGCCCUGGCAGUCAGAGGCGAUGAAGGACGUGCUAAUCUGCGAUAAGCGUCGGUAAGGUGAUAUGAACCGUUAUAACCGGCGAUUUCCGAAUGGGGAAACCCAGUGUGAUUCGUCACACUAUCAUUAACUGAAUCCAUAGGUUAAUGAGGCGAACCGGGGGAACUGAAACAUCUAAGUACCCCGAGGAAAAGAAAUCAACCGAGAUUCCCCCAGUAGCGGCGAGCGAACGGGGAGCAGCCCAGAGCCUGAAUCAGUGUGUGUGUUAGUGGAAGCGUCUGGAAAGGCGUGCGAUACAGGGUGACAGCCCCGUACACAAAAAUGCACAUGCUGUGAGCUCGAUGAGUAGGGCGGGACACGUGGUAUCCUGUCUGAAUAUGGGGGGACCAUCCUCCAAGGCUAAAUACUCCUGACUGACCGAUAGUGAACCAGUACCGUGAGGGAAAGGCGAAAAGAACCCCGGCGAGGGGAGUGAAAAAGAACCUGAAACCGUGUACGUACAAGCAGUGGGAGCACGCUUAGGCGUGUGACUGCGUACCUUUUGUAUAAUGGGUCAGCGACUUAUAUUCUGUAGCAAGGUUAACCGAAUAGGGGAGCCGAAGGGAAACCGAGUCUUAACUGGGCGUUAAGUUGCAGGGUAUAGACCCGAAACCCGGUGAUCUAGCCAUGGGCAGGUUGAAGGUUGGGUAACACUAACUGGAGGACCGAACCGACUAAUGUUGAAAAAUUAGCGGAUGACUUGUGGCUGGGGGUGAAAGGCCAAUCAAACCGGGAGAUAGCUGGUUCUCCCCGAAAGCUAUUUAGGUAGCGCCUCGUGAAUUCAUCUCCGGGGGUAGAGCACUGUUUCGGCAAGGGGGUCAUCCCGACUUACCAACCCGAUGCAAACUGCGAAUACCGGAGAAUGUUAUCACGGGAGACACACGGCGGGUGCUAACGUCCGUCGUGAAGAGGGAAACAACCCAGACCGCCAGCUAAGGUCCCAAAGUCAUGGUUAAGUGGGAAACGAUGUGGGAAGGCCCAGACAGCCAGGAUGUUGGCUUAGAAGCAGCCAUCAUUUAAAGAAAGCGUAAUAGCUCACUGGUCGAGUCGGCCUGCGCGGAAGAUGUAACGGGGCUAAACCAUGCACCGAAGCUGCGGCAGCGACGCUGAUGCGUUGUUGGGUAGGGGAGCGUUCUGUAAGCCUGCGAAGGUGUGCUGUGAGGCAUGCUGGAGGUAUCAGAAGUGCGAAUGCUGACAUAAGUAACGAUAAAGCGGGUGAAAAGCCCGCUCGCCGGAAGACCAAGGGUUCCUGUCCAACGUUAAUCGGGGCAGGGUGAGUCGACCCCUAAGGCGAGGCCGAAAAGCGUAGUCGAUGGGAAACAGGUUAAUAUUCCUGUACUUGGUGUUACUGCGAAGGGGGGACGGAGAAGGCUAUGUUGGCCGGGCGACGGUUGUCCCGGUUUAAGCGUGUAGGCUGGUUUUCCAGGCAAAUCCGGAAAAUCAAGGCUGAGGCGUGAUGACGAGGCACUACGGUGCUGAAGCAACAAAUGCCCUGCUUCCAGGAAAAGCCUCUAAGCAUCAGGUAACAUCAAAUCGUACCCCAAACCGACACAGGUGGUCAGGUAGAGAAUACCAAGGCGCUUGAGAGAACUCGGGUGAAGGAACUAGGCAAAAUGGUGCCGUAACUUCGGGAGAAGGCACGCUGAUAUGUAGGUGAAGCGACUUGCUCGUGGAGCUGAAAUCAGUCGAAGAUACCAGCUGGCUGCAACUGUUUAUUAAAAACACAGCACUGUGCAAACACGAAAGUGGACGUAUACGGUGUGACGCCUGCCCGGUGCCGGAAGGUUAAUUGAUGGGGUCAGCGCAAGCGAAGCUCUUGAUCGAAGCCCCGGUAAACGGCGGCCGUAACUAUAACGGUCCUAAGGUAGCGAAAUUCCUUGUCGGGUAAGUUCCGACCUGCACGAAUGGCGUAAUGAUGGCCAGGCUGUCUCCACCCGAGACUCAGUGAAAUUGAACUCGCUGUGAAGAUGCAGUGUACCCGCGGCAAGACGGAAAGACCCCGUGAACCUUUACUAUAGCUUGACACUGAACAUUGAGCCUUGAUGUGUAGGAUAGGUGGGAGGCUUUGAAGUGUGGACGCCAGUCUGCAUGGAGCCGACCUUGAAAUACCACCCUUUAAUGUUUGAUGUUCUAACGUGGACCCGUGAUCCGGGUUGCGGACAGUGUCUGGUGGGUAGUUUGACUGGGGCGGUCUCCUCCUAAAGAGUAACGGAGGAGCACGAAGGUUGGCUAAUCCUGGUCGGACAUCAGGAGGUUAGUGCAAUGGCAUAAGCCAGCUUGACUGCGAGCGUGACGGCGCGAGCAGGUGCGAAAGCAGGUCAUAGUGAUCCGGUGGUUCUGAAUGGAAGGGCCAUCGCUCAACGGAUAAAAGGUACUCCGGGGAUAACAGGCUGAUACCGCCCAAGAGUUCAUAUCGACGGCGGUGUUUGGCACCUCGAUGUCGGCUCAUCACAUCCUGGGGCUGAAGUAGGUCCCAAGGGUAUGGCUGUUCGCCAUUUAAAGUGGUACGCGAGCUGGGUUUAGAACGUCGUGAGACAGUUCGGUCCCUAUCUGCCGUGGGCGCUGGAGAACUGAGGGGGGCUGCUCCUAGUACGAGAGGACCGGAGUGGACGCAUCACUGGUGUUCGGGUUGUCAUGCCAAUGGCACUGCCCGGUAGCUAAAUGCGGAAGAGAUAAGUGCUGAAAGCAUCUAAGCACGAAACUUGCCCCGAGAUGAGUUCUCCCUGACUCCUUGAGAGUCCUGAAGGAACGUUGAAGACGACGACGUUGAUAGGCCGGGUGUGUAAGCGCAGCGAUGCGUUGAGCUAACCGGUACUAAUGAACCGUGAGGCUUAACCU
rnacentral:rRNA from 1 species